AAAAAAAACCAUAGAAAAUCCAUAAAAAAACCAUAGAAAAACCAUAGAAAAUCUCACAAUGAAUGUUACACGACAAAUAUUACGAACCAUCAUCUGUAUGCUUCUAAUUUCUGGUACUGUAAUGCAUAAUACGUCAAACAAUACAAAAAAUGAAACAUACAAUGAAAAUGUUCAAAAUAUAUCUACUAUUCAAAAUACUACAAGCACCGAAACUUCGAGAAAAUUAUCAGAAGUAAAAAUCAUCAUUAUAAUAUGUUGUGUUCCACUCCUUUUAAUAAAUUUAUAUGGUAUUUAUACUUGUUAUCAAAUUUGUCGAACUGAGAGGAGAAAUCAAAUAGCAGCCAUGCUUGAUCUAAUAACUAUAAACUGACAGCGCGAAAACCAACAGCACGAAAACUAGCAGCAAGAAAAUCAGCAGGACGAAAACCAGCAAGACGAAAACCAGCAAGACGAAAACCAGCAGAACGAAAACCAGCAGCACGAAUUCCUGCCUGACCUCUUUGCAAUAUUACCACCGGGCAAUGUUGAAAAUCAUGAUGACAACGCAGCCGUAGCUGAGUAAAUAUGUCAUCAUGGAUAAUUCUGUGACUUUCUAUUAUUGCUACUUUAGAAUAAAUAAUUUAAUUUAUUUGUGACACUCCUAAAAUAAAUGGAAAGAUAUAUUCAAUUUGACGGGAAACAUACACAUCGACGGUGCAUUUGUGGUAAUAUAUUUUGCUCCAAAUUAUGUGUAAAACAAUAUAUUUCGACAAAUUUGCGUCAUGCAGGUAAGAAAAGCAGUAUGAAACUAACAUCAAUUACUAAAUGUCAUCAAUAUAGCAACAGGAUACAAUUUUUAUAUCUCUGUAUUGUUAGCAUUAUUAAAUACUAGAUAUUACUUGUCCAGUGGACAAUUUAAG
rnacentral:lncRNA from 1 species